rnacentral:tRNA from 1 species
UAGCUCAGCGGCAUAAGCACCUGCCUUGCAAGCAGGCGGUCCUGGGUUCGAUCCCCAG